GGCGUGCUUAACACAUGCAAGUCGAACGGAAAGGCCCUGCUUUUGUGGGGUGCUCGAGUGGCGAACGGGUGAGUAACACGUGAGUAACCUGCCCUUGACUUUGGGAUAACUUCAGGAAACUGGGGCUAAUACCGGAUAGGAGCUCCUGCUGCAUGGUGGGGGUUGGAAAGUUUCGGCGGUUGGGGAUGGACUCGCGGCUUAUCAGCUUGUUGGUGGGGUAGUGGCUUACCAAGGCUUUGACGGGUAGCCGGCCUGAGAGGGUGACCGGCCACAUUGGGACUGAGAUACGGCCCAGACUCCUACGGGAGGCAGCAGUGGGGAAUAUUGCACAAUGGGCGGAAGCCUGAUGCAGCAACGCCGCGUGCGGGAUGACGGCCUUCGGGUUGUAAACCGCUUUCGCCUGUGACGAAGCGUGAGUGACGGUAAUGGGUAAAGAAGCACCGGCUAACUACGUGCCAGCAGCCGCGGUGAUACGUAGGGUGCGAGCGUUGUCCGGAUUUAUUGGGCGUAAAGGGCUCGUAGGUGGUUGAUCGCGUCGGAAGUGUAAUCUUGGGGCUUAACCCUGAGCGUGCUUUCGAUACGGGUUGACUUGAGGAAGGUAGGGGAGAAUGGAAUUCCUGGUGGAGCGGUGGAAUGCGCAGAUAUCAGGAGGAACACCAGUGGCGAAGGCGGUUCUCUGGGCCUUUCCUGACGCUGAGGAGCGAAAGCGUGGGGAGCGAACAGGCUUAGAUACCCUGGUAGUCCACGCUGUAAACGGUGGGUACUAGGUGUGGGGUCCAUUCCACGGGUUCCGUGCCGUAGCUAACGCUUUAAGUACCCCGCCUGGGGAGUACGGCCGCAAGGCUAAAACUCAAAGGAAUUGACGGGGCCCCGCACAAGCGGCGGAGCAUGCGGAUUAAUUCGAUGCAACGCGUAGAACCUUACCUGGGUUUGACAUGGAUCGGGAGUGCUCAGAGAUGGGUGUGCCUCUUUUGGGGUCGGUUCACAGGUGGUGCAUGGCUGUCGUCAGCUCGUGUCGUGAGAUGUUGGGUUAAGUCCCGCAACGAGCGCAACCCUUGUUCACUGUUGCCAGCACGUUAUGGUGGGGACUCAGUGGAGACCGCCGGGGUCAACUCGGAGGAAGGUGGGGAUGACGUCAAGUCAUCAUGCCCCUUAUGUCCAGGGCUUCACGCAUGCUACAAUGGCUGGUACAGAGAGUGGCGAGCCUGUGAGGGUGAGCGAAUCUCGGAAAGCCGGUCUCAGUUCGGAUUGGGGUCUGCAACUCGACCUCAUGAAGUCGGAGUCGCUAGUAAUCGCAGAUCAGCAACGCUGCGGUGAAUACGUUCCCGGGGCUUGUACACACCGCCCGUCAUGUCAUGAAAGUUGGUAACACCCGAAGCCGGUGGCCUAACCGUUGUGGGGGAGCCGUCGAAGGUGGGACUGGUGAUU
rnacentral:rRNA from 1 species